UACGGAGGGUGCGAGCGUUAAUCGGAAUUACUGGGCGUAAAGCGCACGCAGGCGGUUUGUUAAGCUAGAUGUGAAAGCCCCGGGCUCAACCUGGGAUGGUCAUUUAGAACUGGCAGACUAGAGUCUUGGAGAGGGGAGUGGAAUUCCAGGUGUAGCGGUGAAAUGCGUAGAUAUCUGGAGGAACAUCAGUGGCGAAGGCGACUCCCUGGCCAAAGACUGACGCUCANGUGCGAAAGCUAGGGUAGCAAAUGGG
rnacentral:rRNA from 1 species